AGAAGGGCCAUAGGUCAGUGGAAGAGCAUCUUCUUUGCAUGCAGAAGGCCUCAGGUUCAACCCCCAGCCUCUCUA